rnacentral:misc_RNA from 1 species
AACUCGAUUAUUUCCUAAUAAUUGAUGUUCCUCAUAAGCCACAUUAAUUGGUUGACCAGCACUAUCAUGAUGGUCAGUGUGUCAAUCAAUUAUUACAAGUUUCUACAGGUUGGAAAUGUCCUAAUUCAAACUGUCCAUGUUUUCAAAAUGUUCAGAUUGUCUGGAAAAAGAAAAGUAAACUUGGGGACCAGCUUCUGACCAGUCAUGCUGAUCACCAAGUCUAUUUGGUUUCCACCCAGUAGUUCUUUGUCUCUCCCAGUAAUGGUUCCUGAUCCGAUGUUGUAAUAGUUUUAGUAGCCGGGAUGAAUAUGAAUUGUUGACCUUGAGCUUCUGUGAUAUGCUUCAGCCAGUGCAAGGGCAGAGCAGACUUCUUCUAGACCUUCCUCCUUUACACACACUUAGUUAUCUGAAUUUUGUUAUUUCGCAAUAUCUUUGCGUGCUUUAUUAUUUUAAACUGAUGCUUGGUGUCCAGGCCAGCUUGAGCAUACCUCAAGUAU